CCUACGGGAGGCAGCAGUGGGGAAUAUUGCACAAUGGGGGAAACCCUGAUGCAGCGACGCCGCGUGAGUGAAGAAGUAAUUCGUUAUGUAAAGCUCUAUCAGCAGGGAAGAAAAUGACGGUACCUGAGUAAGAAGCCCCGGCUAACUACGUGCCAGCCGCAGCGGGAAUACGGAGGGGGCCAGCGUUAUCCGGAUUUACUGGGGGUAAAGGGAGCGUAGACGGGAGUGCAAGUCUGGAGGUAAAGUCGGGGGCUCAACCCCCGGACUGCUCUGGAAACUGUACGGCUGGAGUGCAGGAGAGGUAAGUGGAAUGCCUAGUGUAGCGGUGAAAUGCGUAGAUAUUAGGAGGAACACCAGUGGCGAAGGCAGCUUACUGGACUGUAACUGACGUUGAGGCUCGAAAGCGUGGGGAGCAAACAGGAUUAGAUACCCUUGUAGUC
rnacentral:rRNA from 1 species